GAGAUCGUGGCAGCCCGCUCGCACCAACCCAUGCCCUCGCUCCGCCACCGAUCCAUGCCACUCCAGCUCGUCAUGAACAAUGAUAUUGCUGCGCUUGUAGUUCACAACGUCUCCGGCAUAUGCAAGGCCAGCUUUGUGGGCAACGACGUCCCCCAGGCCGUCUUCCCUUCCACCGUGGGGCACCCAUGGCAUCAGGGCGUGAUGGUGGGCAUGGGCCAGAAGGACUCCUAUGUGGGCGAUGAGGCCCAGAGCAAGAGAAGCAUCCUGACCCUGAAGUACCCCAUCGAGCACGGCCUCGUCACCAACAGGGAUGACAUGGAGAAGAUCUGUCACCAUACCUUCUACAACGAGCUGUGUGUCGCCCCCAAGGAGCACCCCGUGUUGCUGACCGAGGCUCCCCUGAACCCCAAGGCCAACAAGGAAAAGAUGACCCAGAUCAUGUUUGAGACCUUCAACACCCCAGCCAUGUAUGUAGCCAUCCAGGCUGUGCUGUCCCUGUAUACCUCUGGCCGCACCACUGGCAUCGUGAUGGACUCCGGGGAUGGGGUAACCCACACUGUGCCUAUCUACGAGGGAUAUGCCCUCCCCCAUGCCAUCCUGCAUCUGGACCUGACUGGCCGGGACCUGACAGACUACCUCAUGAAGAUUCUCACUGAGCAUGGCUACUGUGGAAGGGGCUACAGCCUCACCACCACGGCUGAGCGGGAAAUUGUGCAUGACAUCAAGGAGAAGCUCUGCUAUGUCGCCCUGGACUUCAAGCAGGAGACGGCCACCGCCGCAUCCUCCACCCGCCUGGAGAAGAGCUACAAGCUGCCUGACAGCCAGGUGAUGACCAUCAGCAAUGAGAGGUUCUGCUGCCCCGAGGCUCUCUUCCAGCCUUCCUUCCUGGGCAUGGAAUCCUGUGGCAUCCACGAAACCACCUCCAACUCCAUCAUGAAGUGUGAUGUAGACAUCCACAAGGAGCCGUACUCCAACAUGGUGUUGUCCGGAGGUAUCACCAUGUAUCUAGGCAUCGCUGACAGGAUGCAGAAGGAGGUCACUGCCCUGGCGCCCAGAACGAUGAAGAUCAAGGUCAUCGCACCCCUCAGCGCAAGUACUCCGUGUGGAUUGGCGGCUCCAUCCUGGCCUCGCUGUCCACCUUCCAGCAGAUGUGGAUCAGCAAGCAGGGGUACGAUGAGUCUGGCCCCUCCAUCGGGUACCGCAAGUGCUUCUAGGACA